rnacentral:rRNA from 1 species
UUUUGGGAGAAUUUAAACCUGGCUCCGGAGAAAAUCGAGGGCGGCGUGCUUAACACAUGCAAGUCGAACGGAAAGGUCUCUUCGGAGAUACUCGAGUGGCGAACGGGUGAGUAACACGUGGGUGAUCUGCCCUGCACUUCGGGAUAAGCCUGGGAAACUGGGUCUAAUACCGGAUAGGACCACGGGAUGCAUGUCUUGUGGUGGAAAGCGCUUUAGCGGUGUGGGAUGAGCCCGCGGCCUAUCAGCUUGUUGGUGGGGUGACGGCCUACCAAGGCGACGACGGGUAGCCGGCCUGAGAGGGUGUCCGGCCACACUGGGACUGAGAUACGGCCCAGACUCCUACGGGAGGCAGCAGUGGGGAAUAUUGCACAAUGGGCGCAAGCCUGAUGCAGCGACGCCGCGUGGGGGAUGACGGCCUUCGGGUUGUAAACCUCUUUCACCAUCGACGAAGGUCCGGGUUCUCUCGGAUUGACGGUAGGUGGAGAAGAAGCACCGGCCAACUACGUGCCAGCAGCCGCGGUAAUACGUAGGGUGCGAGCGUUGUCCGGAAUUACUGGGCGUAAAGAGCUCGUAGGUGGUUUGUCGCGUUGUUCGUGAAAUCUCACGGCUUAACUGUGAGCGUGCGGGCGAUACGGGCAGACUAGAGUACUGCAGGGGAGACUGGAAUUCCUGGUGUAGCGGUGGAAUGCGCAGAUAUCAGGAGGAACACCGGUGGCGAAGGCGGGUCUCUGGGCAGUAACUGACGCUGAGGAGCGAAAGCGUGGGGAGCGAACAGGAUUAGAUACCCUGGUAGUCCACGCCGUAAACGGUGGGUACUAGGUGUGGGUUUCCUUCCUUGGGAUCCGUGCCGUAGCUAACGCAUUAAGUACCCCGCCUGGGGAGUACGGCCGCAAGGCUAAAACUCAAAGGAAUUGACGGGGGCCCGCACAAGCGGCGGAGCAUGUGGAUUAAUUCGAUGCAACGCGAAGAACCUUACCUGGGUUUGACAUGCACAGGACGCGUCUAGAGAUUAGGCGUUCCCUUGUGGCCUGUGUGCAGGUGGUGCAUGGCUGUCGUCAGCUCGUGUUCGUGAGAUGUUGGGUUAAGUCCCGCAACGAGCGCAACCCUUGUCUCAUGUUGCCAGCACGUAAUGGUGGGGACUCGUGAGAGACUGCCGGGGUCAACUCGGAGGAAGGUGGGGAUGACGUCAAGUCAUCAUGCCCCUUAUGUCCAGGGCUUCACACAUGCUACAAUGGCCGGUACAAAGGGCUGCGAUGCCGCGAGGUUAAGCGAAUCCUUAAAAGCCGGUCUCAGUUCGGAUCGGGGUCUGCAACUCGACCCCGUGAAGUCGGAGUCGCUAGUAAUCGCAGAUCAGCAACGCUGCGGUGAAUACGUUCCCGGGCCUUGUACACACCGCCCGUCACGUCAUGAAAGUCGGUAACACCCGAAGCCAGUGGCCUAACCCUCGGGAGGGAGCUGUCGAAGGUGGGAUCGGCGAUUGGGACGAAGUCGUAACAAGGUAGCCGUACCGGAAGGUGCGGCUGGAUCACCUCCUUU